rfam:Mesocricetus auratus contig193566, whole genome shotgun sequence.
UGGCUCAGCGGUUAAGAGCACUGGCUGUUCUUCCAGAGGACCUGGGUUCAAUUCCCAG